rnacentral:rRNA from 1 species
UGGGGAAUAUUGCACAAUGGGCGCAAGCCUGAUGCAGCCAUGCCGCGUGUGUGAAGAAGGCCUUCGGGUUGUAAAGCACUUUCAGCGAGGAGGAAGGUGGUGAACUUAAUACGUUCAUCAAUUGACGUUACUCGCAGAAGAAGCACCGGCUAACUCCGUGCCAGCAGCCGCGGUAAUACGGAGGGUGCAAGCGUUAAUCGGAAUUACUGGGCGUAAAGCGCACGCAGGCGGUUUGUUAAGUCAGAUGUGAAAUCCCCGGGCUCAACCUGGGAACUGCAUUUGAAACUGGCAAGCUAGAGUCUCGUAGAGGGGGGCUAGAAUUCCAGGUGUAGCGGUGAAAUGCGUAGAGAUCUGGAGGAAUACCGGUGGCGAAGGCGGCCCCCCUGGACGAAGACUGACGCUCAGGUGCGAAAAGCGUGGGGCAGCAAACAGGAUUAGAUACCCUGGUAGUCCACGCUGUAAACGAUGUCGAUUUGGAGGUUGUGCCCCUUGAGGCGUGGCUUCCGGAGCUAACGCGUUAAAUCGACCGCCUGGGGAGUACGG